rnacentral:rRNA from 1 species
GACGAACGCUGGCGGCGCGCUUAAUACAUGCAAGUCGAACGAGAAGCCAGAGCUUGCUCUGGUGGAAAGUGGCGAACGGGUGAGUAACACGUGAGAAACCUGCCCAAAGAUUGGGAUAAGCCUUGGAAACGAGGUCUAAUACCAAAUACCUUCUUUUAACACAUGUUAAAAAGAAGAAAUGCUCCGGCGCUUUGGGAUGGUCUCGCGAUCUAUCAGCUUGUUGGUGAGGUAACGGCUCACCAAGGCAUCGACGGAUAGCUGGUCUGAGAGGAUGUCCAGCCACAUUGGAACUGAGACACGGUCCAAACUCCUACGGGAGGCAGCAGUAGGGAAUCUUGCACAAUGAGGGAAACCUUGAUGCAGCGACGCCGCGUGCGGGACGAAGGCCCUAGGGUUGUAAACCGCUUUCAGUAGGGACGAAAGUGACGGUACCUACAGAAGAAGCCCCGGCCAACUAUGUGCCAGCAGCCGCGGUAAU